UAAAUAAAUAAAUAAAUAAUUCUAAUAAAGAGCAUCGCCAAUGCAUGAGGUCCCCUGCAUUGCACGGGCCAGGAAAUAAUUGAAUAAGGUCUAUUAGCUGAAAAUCUCUAGUGCAGUUUUACAUUUACUGCAAGCCAAUUAAUAUGCAUGACUAAGCAAUUAUAAACCAAGAACCCUACUAAAUCUCUAAGGGAAAUUCACUUUCGUGUGCCAAGCUGUACCAACUGAUAGGGCAGCAAGCAAAAGAUUGGUACAUUUUAAAAUCCAAUAAUUAGUUAUCAAAGGAUAUUUAGCAAAAAAGUAAUGUAAUAUAGAAGUCAAAGGGCAUACAAUUGAACAUACUAG
rnacentral:misc_RNA from 1 species